rnacentral:rRNA from 1 species
UACGUAGGGUGCAAGCGUCAAUCGGAAUUACUGGGCGUAAAGCGCGCGCAGGCGGUUUUGUAAGUCUGACGUGAAAUCCCCGGGCUCAACCUGGGAAUUGCGUUGGAGACUGCAAGGCUAGAAUCUGGCAGAGGGGGGUAGAAUUCCACGUGUAGCAGUGAAAUGCGUAGAGAUGUGGAGGAACACCGAUGGCGAAGGCAGCCCCCUGGGUCAAGAUUGACGCUCAUGCACGAAAGCGUGGGGAGCAAACAGG